GACGAACGCUGGCGGCGUGCCUAAUACAUGCAAGUAGAACGCACAGGAUGCACCGUAGUUUACUACACCGUAUUCCGUGAGUUGCGAACGGGUGAGUAACGCGUAGGUAACCUGCCUGGUAGCGGGGGAUAACUAUUGGAAACGAUAGCUAAUACCGCAUAAGAACAUUUACUGCAUGGUAGAUGUUUAAAAGGCGCAAAUGCAUCACUACCAGAUGGACCUGCGUUGUAUUAGCUAGUAGGUGAGGUAACGGCUCACCUAGGCGACGAUACAUAGCCGACCUGAGAGGGUGAUCGGCCACACUGGGACUGAGACACGGCCCAGACUCCUACGGGAGGCAGCAGUAGGGAAUCUUCGGCAAUGGGGGGAACCCUGACCGAGCAACGCCGCGUGAGUGAAGAAGGUUUUCGGAUCGUAAAGCUCUGUUGUUAAGGAAGAACGAGUGUGAGAAUGGAAAGUUCAUACUGUGAC
rnacentral:rRNA from 1 species